UACGUAGGGGGCAAGCGUUGUCCGGAUUUAUUGGGCGUAAAGAGCGUGUAGGCGGCCAGAUAGGUCCGUUGUGAAAACUCGAGGCUCAACCUCGAGACGCCGAUGGAAACCAUCUGGCUAGAGUCCGGAAGAGGAGAGUGGAAUUCCCGGUGUAGCGGUGAAAUGCGCAGAUAUCGGGAAGAACACCCGUGGCUAAGGCGGCCCUCUAGUACGGUACUGACGCUGAGACGCGAAAGCGUGGGGAGCGAACAGG
rnacentral:rRNA from 1 species